UUCACAGACCCCUAGUGGUGGCAGGCCACUCCUUCCUCUGGUUUCUGACAUGGCUGUUGUGGUUUGUCACUGCCACCUGUAGAUCAUGCAAGAGGCACCACAUUGCAAUUAGCUCUCUGCUGCCCUUAGCCCACACAAGAGGUGCCAGGCCACCCAUAGCCCACACAAGAAGUGCCCGGUCUCCUGCAGCCCAAGCAAGUGGCCUCUCACCAUCCAUAGCCUUUGCUGGAGGCACCCACCCUCGGAGAGCCUGCGUGUGCACAGGGAAAGAGAUUCCUAUGGCGGUCUGCCCCUCCUUCUCUGACCCUCCCCAACAAUGUUGCUUUGCUUCUCCUUCAGGCCCAGACCUUCUCCUGGGUUCCCUCAGCUGUGGCAUUCCACUCCCCAACCCAUGGCAUACUGCUCCCUAGCCCCUCAGGCUGUCUCCACACAGCCAAUCCUAUUCCUCUCCCCAGAACUGACCUCUGGAGCCUGAGUCUCAGCACCCAGCCCCAACCUGAGCAUAACAGGCUGUAGUGUCUGGGGUAGUGGUGCUGUGGUGUCUGUGCAGCUGUUAAUCUUCUUUGCCUUCCUCAGUCUAGCUGCUGCACUUUUCUCAGCAACUUUAGGUUCCUCCAUCUCAGCUGAUCUCCCUAUUGGUUCGGUGGCUUCCCAGGUUGUGGGUUCAUUUCCUCUUUCACAGCUCCCUCUCAGGAAUGCUAGUCCUAUCCUGAUUCCUUUUCUCUCUCUCUCUUUUUUCUUUUGUUCUACUUAGUUAUGUUGAGGGUUUCUUGCCCUUUUUAGAGGUUUAAGUUCUUCUGACAUCAUUCAGUAGAUGUUCUAUGUGAAUCAUUCUACAUGUAGGAAGGUUUUUUUUUUUUUUUUUGAUGUCUUUGUUGGAGGAGGUGAGUGCUAUGUCUUACUCCUCCACCAUCUUGAUCCUUCUCAGGAGUUCCCAUUUUAAAUAAUAUUGAGGCCAUCAGAUCCUUUACCUCCCACAUUUCAAUUAUUUAUGAAGUGACCUUGUGCUAGAAAUCUACCAUAUGUAGGAUCCACGUUGAACUAUAAUGAAUAAAAAAGCUAAUUGAAAAUGGAAUGCUAUCUUUGUUCAAAAUAGAUUGGUUAUAGCUUUUUUAGACAGUUAAAUCUAGAGGAGGCCAGUAAGGUUAGAUAUUCUUAACCUUGAGUCCAUUAUAUAUUGGGUGAGACUGAAUCCAUUGAAAUUUAUGCAAAAGUUAUGCAUAAACUGCAUAUCAGGAGAAGAUCAAUGCCAUUAAUCAGAUUAUCAAAAGGACACAUGGCACAAAGAGUUAACCAGUGAAAGCCCAACACUCUUUUUUACAGAAGAGGAAAUUAAGGUACAACAAAGAUGUGAUCUGAUAAAUUGUACAUUAAGACAAUGGCAGUGCCAAUGACUGGAAUCCAGUGUCCUAGACUUUUUUCAAUAUUCUUUUGCUGCAUGAUAGCACCUCCCAGUUUCUUGGGGGAAAAACAAAACAAAACAAACAACAACAACAACAACAAAAAGCCUUUAUUUUUGAAGUCAAGUAAUAACAAAUUAGCAAAGCAUGUUCUUCAAUGGAAAUAAGGUUUCAGACUCCAAUAAUUUUUUCCUCAGUAAUUAUUAGCAAUAACUUAAACAUUAUAAGGAAAUCCUUGGGGAUACUCAUGAAAUCAAGUAAGACAAUACCUGUACCUCAUGAAAGACUAUUUUAGAACAUUUUAAUUUAUUUUAUAUGCCAUAAUCCCACUACAGUCCUGGGAUUUGGAGAGCAUCUCUUAUGAGCUACAUUUUACAAAUAAAACUGGAAGUCAAAAAGCUUAAUUGACUUGCUUAAAAGUCUAGUCACCUGAAGAGGAAACCAGCUAUGAAACAAAAGCUUUUGACCUCUGGUCUUGAUCUGUAGUACGUGGCUUUGAAGUACCAAAAUGUACUUCUCUGAAUAAGGGAAAUGUAGCUAUAGAUGUGGAGAUAUUAGUGAUUUGCUGGUGGCAAAUAAAUGGUAGAUGAGCCAGAACUCAAAUUUAUGUUCCUGAAUUUUCUCUAACCACUAAUAAGUUUUAUAAAAAAAUUUUGUUUGUUCUUUUUGGGGAAAUAUUGAAAAUCUCACCUAGUGGAGGGGCAGGGUGGUGUUGGAUAAAGAGCACCAGACUAGGAAGACAGGGACUUGGGGUCUCACCCUGGCUCUGUCACCUGUCAGUUGUGACACCUUUGGCAAGUCACUUAACAGUUGGGCUCAGGUUCAUUUUGGGAAUUGGGCAGGUGAUCUUAACACUCUACACUCUUUCAAUAGAAAAAGUUCCUUAGAUUCUUCCAUCUGUAUGUGUGUAUAUAUGUAUCACAACCCAUGUUUUAAAUUCUACCUCAUUAGCAUUCUGGUGCCCUAUUUGCAGUUAAACAAACAAAAUGGACAUCUUGUGAGAAAUUUUGAAAGAAUGAAGUGAAUUUCGAAAGCUAAUUCUCUUAAGUUAAAAACAGCAAAUUACAAAGAAUGAGGCUAGUAUAAUUUCCUUAACACAGAGGUUUUUACAAAAGUCAAUUAAGAAUAGUGGGUCUUGGAGUUCCCUGGUGGCCUAGUGGUUAAGGAUUCAGCAUUGUCACUGCUAUGGCAGAGGUUCAAUCCCUGGCGCAGGAAAUUUCUGGAUGUCGCAGGUGUGGGCAAAAAAUAGUGGAUUAUGGGCUACUAAAAUAUUGAUUUGUAUACCUCUUUACUCCCAAUUCCAAUGUUCUUUGAGUCUGGGCAGAUCCUAUCUUCCCAAAGAUGCCAGGACAUGUUUGGGCACAUAUUCCUUCUUAGGCUCUGUUAUGUAUACAUUCACUCUCUUUGGUGGCAGAAGCAAAGAAAAGAUGUAUUAAGUUUUCUUUCAUAGAAUUAAAGUCAUCAAAAGUCAUCAUUUCUGUGAAAUCAGGGAGAAUAUGUUUUGGCUAAAUUACAGCUAUUAGAGUGUUCUCAUCGUACCUUGAAGCCGCCCUUAGCUUAGCAUGAGGAAAAUAAGUACAUUCUAGAGGUUAAAACAUAUUUCAAAUCUUUAAAAAAUAUGUAUUCAUUGGUGAACGUUUACUGUUUUAUUCUAAACAUUCUCUUCAUUCUUGAUUUUUACUACCUAUUUUUGAAGACACAAAAACUGAAAAUAAGCAGUGAUAAAAUAGAUGAAGUGUUUUAAAAUAAACGCAAAAUUAUUAUAAACUGCCAGAUAUUUAUGAUGCAGCCUGGCGUCAUAUGUCAAGUCGUUAGAGUUUUACAGUAAAAAGGUCAUUUAACUGAGAUGCAUAGAAAAACAAAGAAAACAAACCAAAAAACCCAAAUGUUUUCUUUUACACAAAUCUAUUCUGUUGUAAAGCUUUGUAUUCCUGAUCAGUUGUUAUAGGAUUCUUCUUCAGCCUUUUGAAAUGCAGACUGUGACAGGGGUUGGGCUGAGGAGCUUGAGGGAUCUAAGUGCACUAUGAUCUGGCUUGCAUAGUGAGAUGGACGUGUCAAAUAGCUCUAAGUAAACAUGUUUAAUCUUCUUUGAUGAAGGAGGGAUGUGGUUUUUAUCAAGGAAUAGGCCCUUAGAUUGGAAUAAAAGAUGCCUUAUAUAAAGACCAUUACUAUUUGCUUUUAUCAGUAUGUUGUAUUUUGCUUUAGCAAAUUUGAUUAAAUAAUUUCAUCAAUUAUUUUUCCCAAUGACCCUGUUUGGGAACACUCUCUUAAAGGUUAACACUGACCUACUUAAUAAUCAAAUCCAACAGCCUAUUCUCAUACCACUUGACACUUGUCUGAUUUGAUGGGACCUCUAUUCUCUAGCUUCUGGGAUGAUUUUCUCUUUCUGUGUUCUCUAACUGCCCUUUCUUUCCUAUCUCUGGCAGCUCUUCUAAUUCCACCUGUUCCAUAUGAGUUAAUAUUUCCUAGGAUUCUAUCUUUAACUUUCUUCUAUUUCAGCCCUCUCCCAUUCACUCCCAAAGUUUUCAACCACCGUUUGUAAGACACCGGUAACUCCCAAAUCCAUGACUCCAACUUUGGCCUGAGCUCCAGGCUUUCCUGAUCUCUAGUCUUGUUUCCAAAUAAAUCCUAAAUAGCCCCACUAGGAUAAACUGGCAUCCUCUCAAAUUCAGCAUGUCAAACAGAGCUCACUGUCCCCCCUUACUAUGGAAGGCAGCCUCCAAGAUGGCCACAAUGAUACCCAUUCCCGGUAUGCAAGCCUUUGACAGAAGGUGGAGUAUGGAUCUGAGUGCUGAGCAGUCUGUAAUUCUUUUCUCUUACUCUUUGAAUUUGUUCAGAAUCAUGUUAUCUGUUUUAUAAAUAUUUCAAGUUCAGGAAUCAUACCUUAAGUUGUUUUCAUGGUCACCUUGUCCUUAGAUACAUGCCUAAAAAUGUUAAUGAGGAGUUCCUGUUGUGGCUCAUUGGAUUAAGAAUCUGACUAUUAUCCAUGAGGAUGUGAGUUUGAUCCCAGUGUGUUAAGGAUCCGGCGUUGCCCCAAGCUGCUCAGAUCUGGCAUUGCUGUGGCUAUGGCAUAGGCCUCAGCUGCAGCUCUAAUUCACCCCAGAGCCUGGGAACGUCUAUAUGCUGCAGAUACAGUCC
rnacentral:lncRNA from 1 species